GCCUGUGGUGCAAUGGAUCAGUACAUCUGGCUGUACAUCUGGCCAGAAGGUUGGUGGUUCGAGCCCACCCAGGGACA